CUUAGGAUAACCGUGCUUAAACCGAA
rnacentral:tRNA from 1 species